rnacentral:ncRNA from 1 species
GUGCGAUUAUUCUGCUCGAAUUAAAAGGAAAUACGGUUAAAAGCCGUAACAGCCCCCGCUACUGUAUGGAACAGCAUUUGCCGAUAUGCCACUGUGAAAACGGGAAGGCGGCUGAUGUGUAUGUCCGAGUCAGGAGACCUGCCACAGAAC